rnacentral:misc_RNA from 1 species
GAUGAAGAACGUAGCGAAAUGCGAUAAGUAAUGUGAAUUGCAGAAUUCAGUGAAUCAUCGAAUCUCUGAACGCACAUUGCGCCCGCCAGUAUUCUGGCGGGCAUGCCUGUUCGAGCGUCAUUUCAACCAUCAAGCCCCCGGCUUGUGUUGGGGACCUGCGGCUGCCGCAGGCCCUGAAAAGCAGUGGCGGGCUCGCUGUCACACCGAGCGUAGUAGCAUACAUCUCGCUCUGGGCGUGCUGCGGGUUCCGGCCGUUAAACCACCUUCAUAACCCAAGGUUGACCUCGGAUCAGGUAGGAAGACCCGCUGAACUUAAGCAUAUCAAUAAGCGGAGGA